ACACAUGAGGACAAUCUGGCUGCAACAUCUAGCGCCACAAUGAUUGCAGAAAUCGAUCUGACUGUCCUAGCUGGGCAGACGGGUGUCUCCUUUCUCUUUCAGUCAUCCACAUGUGUUUCUCCAAAAGCUGUGCUUCGGUCUGCAAAGAUAACUUUCCCUGUUCUAGAAGGCCUGCUCUUCAGCCAAGGGUGUAAGACUAGCUGAAAUCCCUUGUGAAAACCUCCAGACUCUCAAGGAAGUAUCCAAAUCAAUGACUCAUAAAAACAACAAUUUACAAAUCACUGAUAUAUAAGGCAUUGAUAU
rfam:Tupaia chinensis contig99994, whole genome shotgun sequence.